rnacentral:lncRNA from 1 species
UUUUCAUUAAUUAGCCAUGGUACGAUAACCAUACUGUUCUUCUUAAAAGUAAUUGUGUUGUCAAAUCCUUCUCUGACCUCUGUUUUAUCCAUCAACAAAUUUACUAUAUUAAAUGUUAAAAUAUGUAUUGUGUCUAUUAUACCAAGCUGUUUAGCAGAUAUUGGUAACAAAGUUGCACAGCCAAUGAUUUUCUGUUAAUGUGUCAAAGGCUGCAAUGUCCAAGUCUAUCAGAAUAUCUGAAUUUAGGUCGGUCCUUGUGUAAUCAUAUGUUCUAACUAAAUACUAUUUAUUACUAUUUUACCUGGCCAUUUUCAAAAAUGUUAAAUCCUUGGGAAGACCAUUCUUCUAAUGUUUUCUGACUUGUCAAUUUAGUUAAAUGUAGAUUUAAAACUACCAGAUAUUAAAGUGGAUUUCUUUGUGGUAUCGUCUCCAUGGGACAUAUUUGAGUCUAUUUGAAUAUCUCUAAUGCAACUAUCUUUUCUAUAGUCUGAUUGUUGCAAAUUUUUUUUUUCUAUGGUGUUAAGAUUAUUCAAAGUACUCUUGCUUGUAUUUUUUUUAUAAAUUUUUGUUUACCUAAAUUCUGAAUUUUAGGUACCUUUGGUUUAUUUUUUACUUUGUUUUGAAAAUUGAGCACUUGGGUACACCUAACCCAAUUUUCUGAAUUUUGUAAGUUAUUUGUUUAUUAACCUUGAGUAUAUGUUCCCUAGUGGAUUUCAAAAAUCGGCUACAUUUAAGUCUGCGAUCACUGUAUAACAUGUUGAUUUUAAUCAUUUUGAACCAGAAUUCCACUGUAGCGUACUCUUGCUCCAUUUUCAACUCCAUUAUUAACUUAAUUAUUCACAAUGGGUGUCCAAAGCGAAAAGAAGGAUAUGAUUUAGCAACAAACUCUUGUAAAUAUGAUUCUUCAAAGUAAUCAUGAUUGCUAUCGCUACCCUUGCUCUUUUGUCUGAAAUCACUUUCAAUUUUCACUUUUAUUGACUAAAAUUUGCAAUAAAUCAUAGAUUUAUCAGAUCCAGACCUGCAUAGGAACUCACUCAGUUUAUCCAAAUUAUCUUUAUCAUCCAUUUUGUCAGGUGACUUAAUCAAAACAAAAAAUUGGUUUUCUUACUGAUUAUUAACAUUUAGUUUGUUCAGUUUCAUUAGGAGACAAUAAUAUAAAGGCAAAUUGGCUGGGUCAUUUUUCUAUAACUUUCAAAGUCACAGUGUUAAAAAGUAUGACAAUCAAUAAUUUGGUUUUUUAUUUUUUCAGUUUUGCCAUUGUUCGACUCUGGUUGAUAAUAUUUAUAAACAUGAUUUACUAUUAUUUUUGUGUAAUGAUUGGCGCAGACCAUUAUGACUGUAUAAUUGACCCAUCAAUAUUUUUAACUAAUACUGUAUAACACCAAUUCUAGUUGUCAAAUAUUGAGUAAAGCCAUUCCAAUCAAUGAUCAAAGCAUUCAUUUGUGCAUAACUAAAAUCAGUAACUAUAUUUGAAAAUACUGGCCAAUUCAGUUUGUGUUUUAAAACAAAACAUUUAAACUGUUAAGCCAUUGAGAUAGUACUACUGUGUUGUGUGCCGAACUGAUCAUUUUGACAAUUGGAUAAGUCACACUUAAAUUUCUAGGUCCUGGAACAUUUAAAAUUAUAAUAUAAUAUAAACUCUUCUUAAUGUUUUUGUCACUUUGUUAUUUGUUGUAAUUCAGUUUAAAAUAUUCGUAGAUAUUUGAAAUUUAGACAGGCAAAUUAUAUUUGCCUUUUCUAGACAAGGUCAAAUUAUCAAAAUAUUUGAGCCAUUUUUAAACUUUUUUAAAAAAUUUAAUAUUUUUGUUGAAAUUCAGAUUUAAAUAUUCUUAUCGCCUCUGUCAAUUUAUAAUUAGACCAGAAAAUGUAUAUUUGCUUUUUGUAGACAAGGUAAAACUUUUAAAAAAUAUAAGAUAUUUUCGAACUAUUUAUAAACAUUAUAAUCUUAAGAGUUUUGU